rnacentral:rRNA from 1 species
UAUCUCUGUAGAGUCUGCAUAUCAAUAAGCGGAGGAAAAGAAACUAACUAGGAUUCCCUCAGUAACGGCGAGUGAAGCGGGAAGAGCUCAAAUUUGAAAUCUUCAAGGUUCUACCUUGACGAAUUGUAGUUUAAGGAAGUGUUUUCUGUUGGAGUUUUGGUAAAAGUUCUUUGGAAUAGGACAUCAUAGAGGGUGAGAAUCCCGUAUUUGACCAUUACUUUCCAGCUGUGUGAUACACUUUCAAAGAGUCGGAUUGUUUGGGAAUGCAGUCCAAAAUGGGUGGUAAAUUUCAUCUAAAGCUAAAUAUUGGCGAGAGACCGAUAGCGAACAAGUACCGUGAGGGAAAGAUGAAAAGAACUUUGAAAAGAGAGUUAAACAGUACGUGAAAUUGUCAAAAGGGAAGCGUUUGACACCAGUGUUGUUUUCUCGAAAAUCAAUUACGAAUGGCUUGAUUCUGUGUUGUAUUGACCUUAUCAGCUUUCUUCACUUUUUUCGAGUCUUUCUUAAUGCACUUUUCGGUUAACAAGUCAACAUCAAUUUCUUUUGUUGUAAAAGAGUAUUCGGAAGGUGGCUUUCUUUUCGGAGAAAGUGUUUAUAGCCCUAUACUUCUACAAUCGGAGAGAUUGAGGUCUGCAGCGUAGAUCCUUCGGGGUUAGAUACACUUGUGCUAAGUUGUAGCUUUUCAUAGACAACUUGUUGACUAUGUUUAGUCAUGCGGCUUACUCGCUUGUGCUAUUUUACCUACGCUUAGGAUGUUGAAGAUGUAGCACAUCAU